rnacentral:rRNA from 1 species
CGCCUACGGGGGGCAGCAGUGGGGAAUAUUGCACAAUGGGGGAAACCCUGAUGCAGCGACGCCGCGUGGGUGACGAAGUAUUUCGGUAUGUAAAGCCCUAUCAGCAGGGAAGAAGAUGACAGUACCUGACCAAGAAGCCCCGGCUAACUACGUGCCAGCAGCCGCGGUAAUACGUAGGGGGCGAGCGUUAUCCGGAUUUACUGGGUGUAAAGGGAGCGUAGACGGUUCUGCAAGUCUGAAGUGAAAGCCCGUGGCUUAACCGCGGAACGGCUUUGGACACUGUGGAACUGGAGUGCUGGAGAGGG